GAUUUCAAGUAAUUAAGUGCAUCAUAUUACAUCAUUACAUCAUUAUUGUUUUGUUGUCGAGUAUGAUUACAUCAUUAUUGUUUUGUUGCAACAAAACGCAAAUAAUAGCGCAGCAACUAAUUUUUUAACAGGGCCCAGAUAUUUUUUAAUUGGGUACAUUUAUAUUCUAAUUAUGUCCAGAUGUUCUGGAAACUUUUAGGAACAACUAAUGUUUGAGGAUGCCACCUCUAGCCACAUAUUCAACCGCAAAAGAAGAAGAAAAAAUUAGCUCUAAUUGGUAACUUAAAACAAGCAGUCAAAUUUGAAUGUUAACUUCUCUCUUUAAAUCUUAAACUGAUUGUAACAUCAUCCGAGAAAUACAUGGGGAAAAGCAAAGACAAUUAGGUUUUCUCACAAUGUUCAAAACUUUUUUGUUAAGAUAUUGGCAGGCUUUACUUGAAAACUUACCUUCCUGCAACGAGUUUAAAAGAACCUCCAACUACAAGCCAAUUUGAAAUAUUUUUCAUAGCACAAUGUACGAAGAAGAACUUGCUUUUUAUUCCAUUUACUAAUUAGACUAUUUAUAUUUCAUAAUUUCUUUAAACUAUUUUGCAGAAUUGUUUAAUGCUGGUUUUUUUACCAAAUUUAAAGUUUAGAAAAUUAUUUGACAUAUUAAAUUUUUAAUAAUUGA